rnacentral:rRNA from 1 species
UACGAAGGGGGCUAGCGUUGCUCGGAAUCACUGGGCGUAAAGCGCCCGUAGGCGGCUUUUUAAGUCAGGGGUGAAAUCCUGGAGCUCAACUCCAGAACUGCCUUUGAUACUGGGAAGCUUGAGUCCGGAAGAGGUGAGUGGAACUCCGAGUGUAGAGGCGAAAUUCGUAGAUAUUCGGAAGAACACCAGUGGCGAAGGCGGCUCACUGGUCCGGUACUGACGCUGAGGUGCGAAAGCGUGGGGAGCAAACAGG